rnacentral:ribozyme from 2 species
UUAAUAACUCCGCCUAUAUUGUUUCAGUAUAGCCGGUCCCAAGCCCGGAUAAAGGAGGAGGGUAAA